CUUUACUUUUCUGUAUGUUGGGGAGAUCAGUUUCCAUGCAGUCUAUAUCUUAUGUUUAUUCAUAAAUUCAUUCCUUUCCAUUUCCACCUUGUAUUUAUCCAGCAAGUGCAGCUCUUGCUGUACUGAUCUUGCUUGGGAGAAUGAGGGAGGAGAAGAAGAUCCAUUGUUUCCACCAUCCUCACCCUGAUUAGGCCAGCCAUGUAUUCCCAAAGGCAGCACCUGAAUCACUCCUCAUCAGCAUGUAACACAAGCAGUGAUCAAAUGCAUUUCAAGAAGCGUUUGGGGAACAAUAACUUCAAAUACAUCAGAUGCCUUGAGCUACUAUAUUCUAGACCAGAACUUAGAGCAAUGGAUUUCAACUACAGGAAGUGAUUCCUCUUCAGUGUUAUGAAGUACGUCCUAAUG